CGCCAACGGUGGCCACGUCCUCCCUAAUGGAUAGUACAUUUAAGCUGUAUAGCAUCAAAGUCUUUUCCACUGAUUAUCCACUUUCCCAUUGGAGUGCUCUACUUAAACAAAUAGCUAACUAUGAGAAGAAUCUGAAGACAACAGCUUCUCCAUCUCAAAAGGCUAAUCCAGAACAACCUAAAAGGCUUUAUACUCUCAGCUAGCUGCUUCGAGACGAUAAUAAGCAAAUAAUGACAAAGGAUAUCAGGUUGAAGCAGGGCAACAAAAACAAAUGAAAUGUCCUAGGAAGCCCAGCAGCUGCCCAUCAUCUAAGAGAAGGCCAAGAGCCACUGUCACUCACAAAGUCCGUGACAAGAAGAUGAAAAAUAAUCCAACCCCACCUGAUGGCUUCUUGCCAAAUGCCGCUGCACCAGCAGUUACGAAUGUGGCAGGAAAUGGUAUUCCACUCAACCAACAGGGUUCGCUCUCUGAUGACUUCGCGAGAGACGGCCCGUCUCACAAACCUGGUAGUAAUUCACCUGGAGGAGGAGCCAAAAACAGCAGUGUCUCCGUAGGUGACCCAAAAGUCCCAGCGGUGCCUUCGGCAGGAGUUGUGCCAAAGGAAGUGCCAAUGAGUGCUGCUCUGGCACAGAAAAUUAAUAAUGAUAUAAAACAUCAAUUAAUGAAGGAAGUUCGGAAGUUUGGACGAAGGUAUGAAAGGAUUUUCACCUUGUUUGAAGAAGUUCAAGGGCCUCCUGUAGUCAAAAAACAAUUUGUUGAAUUUACCAUCAAGGAAGCUGCAA